rnacentral:rRNA from 1 species
AACGAACGCUGGCGGCAGGCCUAACACAUGCAGGUCGAACGAAGUCUUCGGACUUAGUGGCGCACGGGUGAGUAACACGUGGGAAUAUACCUUACGCUGGGGGAUAACAUCGGGAAACUGAUGCUAAUACCGCAUACGCCCUUCGGGGGAAAGAUUUAUCGGCGAAAGAUUAGCCCGCGUCCGAUUAGCUAGUUGGUGAGGUAAUGGCUCACCAAGGCUCCGAUCGGUAGCUGGUCUGAGAGGAUGACCAGCCACACUGGGACUGAGACACGGCCCAGACUCCUACGGGAGGCAGCAGUGGGGAAUAUUGGACAAUGGGCGCAAGCCUGAUCCAGCCAUGCCGCGUGAGUGAUGAAGGCCUUAGGGUUGUAAAGCUCUUUCACCCACGACGAUGAUGACGGUAGUGGGAGAAGAAGCCCCGGCUAACUUCGUG